rnacentral:rRNA from 1 species
GACGAACGCUGGCGGCGUGCUUAACACAUGCAAGUCGAACGGAAAGGCCUGCUUUCCCUUGUGGAUUGCGGGUGCUCGAGUGGCGAACGGGUGAGUAACACGUGAGUGAUCUGCCCCCAACUUGGGUAUAAGCCUGGGAAACUGGGUCUAAUUCCCGAUAGGACUGCAGGGUGGUGCCUGUGGUGGAAAACGAUUUUCUAGUGGUUGGGGAUGAGCUCGCGGCCUAUCAGCUUGUUGGUGGGGUAAUGGCCUACCAAGGCGGCGACGGGUAGCCGGCCUGAGAGGGUGGACGGCAACAUUGGGACUGAGAUACGGCCCAGACUCCUACGGGAGGCAGCAGUGGGGAAUAUUGCACAAUGGGCGGAAGCCUGAUGCAGCGACGCCGCGUGGGGGAUGACGGCCUUCGGGUUGUAAACUCCUUUCGACCGCGAGGAAGCCACCUGGUUGGAAGGGUGGUGACGGUAGUGGUAGAAGAAGCACCGGCUAACUACGUG